GUCUCUUUGAUGAUUUUAUAUAAAGAGUCAAACCUGCCCAGUGAUUUAUAUUUAACGGCCGCAGUACCCUGACUGUGCAAAGGUAGCAUAAUCAUUUGCCCUAUAAUUGAGGGCUUGUAUGAAUGGUUUAACAAGAACAUUUCUGUCUCUUAAAAAUUCUAUAUAACUUAAUUUAUAAGUGAAGAAGCUUAUAUAAUACUAAAAGACGAGAAGACCCUUUUGAGCUUAAAAAAUGAAUUAAGUAUUAUAAAAAUUUUUUUGGUUGGGGCGACCUAGGAACAUAUAAGCUUCCUUUUUUGAUAAAACUUUAGUUAUGAUCCAGCAUUGCUGAUUAACAAAUAAGCUACCAUAGGGAUAACAGCGUAAUUUCUUUUAAGAGUUCAUAUUAAAAAAGAAGUUUGCGACCUCGAUGUUGGACUAAAAUUUCCUUAAAGUGCAGAAAUUUUUAAAGGUUAGUCUGUUCGACUAUUAAAAUUUU
rnacentral:rRNA from 1 species